CCCUUAGAUGUUCUGGGCCGCACGCGCGCUACACUGAUGCAUUCAACGAGCCUAUCCCUGACCGACAGGUCCGGGUAAUCUUUGAAUCUGCAUCGUGACGGGGAUAGAUUAUUGCAAUUAUUAAUCUUCAACGAGGAAUGCCUAGUAGGCGCAAGUCAUCAGCUUGCGUCGAUUACGUCCCUGCCCUUUGUACACACCGCCCGUCGCUCCUACCGAUUGGGUGUGCUGGUGAAAUGUUCGGAUCGGCCGUUUGUCGCGGUUUCCGCGUCAUGUGGCUGAGAAGUUCAUUAACCCCUCCCACCUAGAGGAAGGAGAAGUCGUAACA
rnacentral:rRNA from 1 species